AUGGACCAUAUGGAAGUCAGUGUGCUACCUGAUGACCUGAUUGUGGAAAUCCUCUCCCGGCUGCCGCUGAAGUCUUUUUGCCGCUUCAAAUGUGUUUGCAAACCCUGGCUUGCCUUCUCCUCUGAUCCAAACUACCGCAAGAAGCUGCCGAAAAUCCCCACUGGUCUUUUCUGCCAGUACCAAGACUUCGAUAAGAAGGCUACCAAGCUUCUUAGCCAGCCCCGAAACGUUGAGAAAAUUGAUGGAGCACUUAGUUUCUUGCCAGACCAUCCGCAACUCGAGCUUAUGGAUUGCUGCAAUGGCCUAGUGCUCUGCAUGCGUAGGAGCAUGGAUUGGAGCAGACGUACAAUUACUUGCCACUUCAUUGUGUGCAACCCGGCAACACGAGAGUGGACGAGGCUUCCUGAUACUCGUCCUUACCAAGAACAUGCUGUUUUUGAAGCUAUGUUGGCUUUCAACCCAUCAUGUUCACCACAGUUCUACGUCUUCAACUUUAAACGUAAUCCCUUAUCUUCAUUCUUGAGUGGACCCGAGGUGUUUUCAUCUGACCUUUCCACAUGGCUCGUAUAUGAUGCAUGGUGGAAUUCCGGGAUUCGCACUGUUAUUGGCUACCCACACUUGUUCAUAGAUGGUUCACUAUAUCUGUUUAGUGUGCCGCAGAACUCAGUGAAGAGGAUCUUGGUAUUGAACGGCUUUGAGGCAAUGUGUUCUCGCAUACCCCCUAAUCGUCAAACUAUUAAGUUGCCUCAUGAUCCUUCUUACUGGUUUUAUUCAAAUCUUACCGUGGGUAUGUACACCCGAGGUUACUUUGGCCAAUCUCUGGGGGCCUUGCACUUUGCAUUGCCAGAUGCGGAUGGGCUUGCAAUUCGGAUCUGGAGUCUUGAUGUUUCUGGGCCUUACAAAUGGACUGUGAAGUAUCGUCUUAGUAUGAGUGAUGCGUUUGGAAGGGAUGACCUUGCUUACUAUGACGCUGCUCAACAGUGCUGGAAUUGCGCGUAUGAAAUUGCUGCUAUUGACUUGGAGAGGGACGUCGUGUUCCUCUUUGACUGCCAUGCAAACAACCUUCGUUCAUACACCAUCAGCACAGGGGAACUUCAGGAACUCGAUGACAUUGAACAAGAUCAUGAGCAUGUCUAUGACAAGUUCUACCACUACGUGGCAUGCUACUCAAAGCUUCCAACCUAUGCGCCUAUACCUCAGCCAUGUUUGUUGGAAGCAAAGAGGCCUGAUCGGCGGACGUGGCGGUCGAAGCUGCUAGCAAUUGUUGCGAAAUCAAGCUGGAGAUGA
rnacentral:rRNA from 1 species